UAUUAAUCUGAACACAUCGUAGUCUGGCAAUUUAGUAUAUAACAAUAAUGAAGGUGUUUUAACACCAAUCUCAGGAAAGAACACAACCUGCAGAAAAUAGGAGCAAAACCAUUGUUUGCAUUUUCACGAAUAUUUGAAAGAUGCAAGCUGCAAUAUUGGUGUUGCAGACCUAAAUUGUCAUGAAACAACAUCGUUGUUAUUCACAUAACCAUGAAGGCGUGAAGCCGCAACAACACUUCCAAAUAUCGGGCAUUUUAACAGCAGCCCGUGUCGGAAAAAGACUGCUGAGUUGCCUAGUGGUAGUGCUUAACCGCAAGCACCUGUAUCUGCUUCCGGGAAAGUUACGCAAAGGUGUUUGUGUAUAAUGAUUCGAACCGAAAGAUA